rnacentral:rRNA from 1 species
GACGAACGCUGGCGGCGUGCUUAACAUAUGCAAGUCGAACGAUGAAGCCAGCUUGCUGGUGGAUUAGUGGCGAACGGGUGAGUAACACGUGGGUGAUCUGCCCCAAACUUUGGGAUAAGCCUGGGAAACUGGGUCUAAUACCGAAUAUGACCGAUACUCGCAUGGGUGUUGGUGGAAAGCUCCGGCGGUUUGGGAUGGGCCCGCGGCCUAUCAGCUUGUUGGUGGGGUAAUGGCCUACCAAGGCGACGACGGGUAGCCGGCCUGAGAGGGCGACCGGCCACACUGGGACUGAGACACGGCCCAGACUCCUAUGGGAGGCAGCAGUGGGGAAUAUUGCACAAUGGGCGCAAGCCUGAUGCAGCGACGCCGCGUGAGGGAUGACGGCCUUCGGGUUGUAAACCUCUUUCACCAGGGACGAAGCGAAAGUGACGGUACCUGGAGAAGAAGCACCGGCCAACUACGUG